rnacentral:rRNA from 1 species
GACGGAGGAUGCAAGCGUUAUCCGGAAUGAUUGGGCGUAAAGCGUCCGCAGGUGGCAGUUCAAGUCUGCUGUCAAAGACCGGGGCUUAACUUCGGAAAGGCAGUGGAAACUGAACAGCUAGAGUAUGGUAGGGGCAGAGGGAAUUCCUGGUGUAGCGGUGAAAUGCGCAGAUAUCAGGAGGAACACCGAUGGCGAAGGCAGCUCACUGGGACGGUACUGACGCUGAGGCGCGAAAGCGUGGGGAGCAAACAGG